CCUACGGGGGGCAGCAGUGGGGAAUAUUGCACAAUGGGCGAAAGCCUGAUGCAGCAACGCCGCGUGAGCGAUGAAGGCCUUCGGGUCGUAAAGCUCUGUCCUCAAGGAAGAUAAUGACGGUACCUGCAAAGGAAGCACCGGCUAACUCCGUGCCAGCAGCCGCGGUAAUACGGAGGGGGCGAGCGUUAAUCGGAAUUACGGGGCGUAACGCGCGCGUAGGCGGUAUGUCAAGUCAAGGGUGAAAUCCCCGCGCUCAACUUGGGAACUUCCUUUGAAACUGGCAACCUGGAGUGUGUGGGAGGUUGGUGGACUUCCAGGUGUAGGAGUGAAAUCCGUCGAUAUCUGGAGGACCAUCAGUGGCGAAGGCGACUCUCUGGUACAUACCUGACGCUGAGGCGC
rnacentral:rRNA from 1 species